AUUGAACGCUGGCGGCAUGCCUUACACAUGCAAGUCGAACGGCAGCACGGGAGCAAUCCUGGUGGCGAGUGGCGAACGGGUGAGUAAUAUAUCGGAACGUGCCCAGUCGUGGGGGAUAACGCAGCGAAAGCUGUGCUAAUACCGCAUACGAUCUAUGGAUGAAAGCGGGGGAUCGCAAGACCUCGCGCGAUUGGAGCGGCCGAUAUCAGAUUAGCUAGUUGGUGAGGUAAAGGCUCACCACGGCGACGAUCUGUAGCUGGUCUGAGAGGACGACCAGCCACACUGGAACUGAGACACGGUCCAGACUCCUACGGGAGGCAGCAGUGGGGAAUUUUGGACAAUGGGCGAAAGCCUGAUCCAGCAAUGCCGCGUGCAGGAUGAAGGCCUUCGGGUUGUAAACUGCUUUUGUACGGAACGAAACGGUGAGCUCUAAUACAGUUUGCUAAUGACGGUACCGUAAGAAUAAGCACCGGCUAACUACGUGCCAGCAGCCGCCGUAA
rnacentral:rRNA from 1 species